rnacentral:rRNA from 1 species
GACGAACGCUGGCGGCGUGCCUAAUACAUGCAAGUAGAACGCAGUUGCGAACGGUUGAGUAACGCGUAGGUAACGGCGUCAUCCCGGGGAUUAGCGAUUGAAAACGAUAGCUAAUACCGCCUACUUUGAGAUGGACCUGCGUUGUAUUAGCUAGUUGGUGAGGUAAAGGCUAACCAAGGCGACGAUACAUAGGCGAACUGAGAGGGGGAAUCGCCACACUGGGGAGUGGACCAGGCCCAGAACCCCACGGGAGGCAACAGGAGGGAAGCUUUGGCAAUUGACGGAAGGUCUAACCAGCAAAGCCGCGGUAGGGAAGAAGGGUUUUGGGUCCGAAAGCUCUGGUGUUAGAGAAGCGGGAACUAACCAGAAAGGGACGGCUAACUACGUGCCAGCAGCGGCGGUAAUAC